AUGCACAAUCUGUCUACGGCCAUAGACCUGGAGUCCCGCUGCCCACUACCACCACGUGUGGCAGAGAAGGAGACAGCCAGGGCCCAGGUCAAAGGGGAAGUGUUCGGGGGCAGGGUCAGCUUGGAAGGCAAGUCCCUGGAGCAUAGGACCUCAGUACCCUCUGACCAGUCACUGAAUUGGGCCCAGUCCCAGUUGCUUAUCUCCCAGCAGAAACUCCGCCUCCCCAUGGCUGACUGUGGGAAACUCGAAGACAAGCUCCCGUCUCCCUGUGGGAAACCUUCUAGCAACAGGCUGGGUCUGCAGUGGACCGCAGUGGCCACCUUCCUCUAUGCGGAGGUCUUUGUUGUGUUGCUUCUCUGCAUUCCCUUCAUUUCUCCCAAAAGAUGGCAGAAGAUUUUCAAGUCCUGGCUGGUGGAGUUGGUAGUGUCCUGUGGCAACACGUUCUUUGUGGUUCUCAUUGUCAUCCUUGUGCUGCUGGUCAUCAAUGCUAUGCAUGAGAUUUGGAAGUAUGAUGAUGUGACUGAGGAGGUGAACCUCCAAUCCUGGGCCAUGGAGCACUUCCACAUGAAGCUUUCCCAUGCCCAGAGGAAUCUCUACAUUGCUGGCUUUUCCUUGCUGCUGUAUUUCUUGCUUAGACACCUGGUGAUUCUCAUCUUACAGCAGGCUGGACUCUGAAGAAGCCUUUAAUAAGCAGUGAGGCAGAGUGCUAGUGAGGCAGCCAAGAAGCACAAGGAGGAGAAUGACAAGCUCAAGAAGGGAGCUGCUGGCCC